rnacentral:rRNA from 1 species
UACAGAGACUGCGAGCGUUAUUCGGAUUCACUGGGCGUAAAGGGUGCGCAGGUGGCCGUGUGUGUGAGGCGUGAAAGCCCGGGGCUUAACUGGGGAACUGCGUGUGAUACUGGAUGGCUUGGAUUUGGGAGAGGGAUGCGGAAUUCCAGGUGUAGCGGUGGAAUGCGCAGAUAUCAGGAGGAACACCAAUGGCGAAGGCAGCUCGCUGGGACGGUAACUGACGCUGAGGCGCGAAAGCGUGGGGAGCAAACAGG